AUUGAACGCUGGCGGAAUGCUUUACACAUGCAAGUCGAACGGCAGCACGGACUUCGGUCUGGUGGCGAGUGGCGAACGGGUGAGUAAUGUAUCGGAACGUGCCCAGUCGUGGGGGAUAAAGUAGUGAAAAUUAAGCUAAUACCGCAUACUAUCUAUGGAUGAAAGCGGGGGAUCGCAAGACCUCGCGCGGCUGGCGCGGACCACAUCAGAUUAGGUAGUUGGGGGGGUAACGGCCCACCAAGCCAACGAUCUGUAGCUGGUCUGAGAGGACGACCAGCCACACUGGAACUUAGACACGGUCCAGACUCCUACGGGAGGCAGCUGUGGGGAAUUUUGGACAAUGGGCGAAAGCCUGAUCCAGCCAUUCCGCGUGCAGGAUGAAGGCCCUCGGGUUGUAAACUGCUUUUGUACAGAACGAAAAGGUUUCUACUAAUACUAGGAGCUCAUGACGGUACUGUAAGAAUAAGCACCGGCUAACUACGCGCCAGCCGCCGCCGUAA
rnacentral:rRNA from 1 species